rnacentral:rRNA from 1 species
UACGUAGGGUGCAAGCGUUGUCCGGAAUUAUUGGGUUUAAAGGGUGCGUAGGCGGCAUUUUAAGUCAGUGGUGAAAUACUUCAGCUUAACUGGAGAGGUGCCAUUGAUACUGGGAUGCUUGAGUACUGAUGAGGUAGGCGGAAUGGACGGUGUAGCGGUGAAAUGCUUAGAUAUCGUCCAGAACACCGAUAGCGAAGGCAGCUUACUAAGGAGUAACUGACGCUGAGGCACGAAAGUGUGGGGAUCAAACAGG